rnacentral:rRNA from 1 species
UACAGAGGGUGCGAGCGUUAAUCGGAAUUACUGGGCGUAAAGCGCGCGUAGGCGGCUUUGCAAGUCGGGUGUGAAAUCCCCAGGCUUAACCUGGGAACUGCAUUCGAGACUGCAUUGCUAGAGUAUGGGAGAGGGAAGUGGAAUUUCCGGUGUAGCGGUGAAAUGCGUAGAUAUCGGAAGGAACAUCAGUGGCGAAAGCGGGUCUCUGGACAGUUCCUGACGCUGAGGCACGAAGGUCAGGGGAGCAAACGGG